CCUACGGGGGGCAGCAGUCGAGAAUCAUUCACAAUGGGGGAAACCCUGAUGGUGCGACGCCGCGUGGGGGAAUGAAGGUCUUCGGAUUGUAAACUCCUGUCAUGUGGGAGCAAAUUAAAAAGAUAGUACCACAAGAGGAAGAGACGGCUAACGCUGUGCCAGCAGCCGCGGUAAUACAGGGGGCUCAAGCGUGGUUCGGAAUGCCUGGGCGUAAAGCGUGCGUAGGCUGUUUGGUAAGUCAUGUGUGAAGGGCGCGGGCUCAACCGGAGAAGUGCAAAUGAUACUGGGAGGCUAGAGUAAUGGAGAGGGAGGCGGAAGUCGCGGUGUAGCGGUGAAAUGCGUAGAUAGCAAGAAGAACACUGGUGGCGAAGGCGGCUUACUGAACAUUGACUGACGCUGAGGCACGAAAGUGUGGGGAGCAAAAAGGAUUAGAUACCCCAGUAGUC
rnacentral:rRNA from 1 species